CAAUAGCGUAUAUUAAAGUUGUUGCAGUUAAAAAGCUCGUAGUUGGAUCUCGGCGAGUAGGGGGCGGUUAGUUGCUUAACUGUACUGCUCCAUUUACUCGUGUUUUUGACGGAGGUUGCCGGGUGCUCUUCAUCGAGUGUCCGGUGAUGCCGUCAGGUUUACUUUGAAAAAAAUAGAGUGCUCAAAGCAGGCUUCACACGCUUGAAUAUUCGUGCAUGGAAUAAUAGAAUAGGACGUCGUUUCUAUUUUGUUGGUUUUCGGAAAUUGACGUAAUGAUUAAUAGGGACAGUCGGGGGCAUUAGUAUUCAAACGACAGAGGUGAAAUUCUUGGACCGUUUGAAGACUAACUACUGCGAAAGCAUUUGCCAAGAAUGUUUUCAUUAA
rnacentral:rRNA from 1 species